UGAAAUUUACAUUGAUUGGAAGAUUCUUUGGAUAGAAUAUUCCUGCCAAAAGACAGCAGAAGGGGGACUAACUGAUGUAUGGAUUUUGACACCAGAUUUUACCCUGCACGAGCAGCCCAACUUGAGUAGAUCAGGAGUGGGAAAACCGAGCCCUGUCCUUGACCAAGGAAAGUUGGAUUUGUUGAGAGGACCUGAUCUCAAAUGAGAUCAUUCACAAGACGCACCUCGCAAAGGCCAUGACAGUAUAGUUUUCAGACCUGAUCAGCUGGUGACUGCUCUAUGAAGUGCUGUUCAACCUCCCCUAAGGGGGAGAUUCGAGAGGGUCUCCUGAUUGCUGAACACUACGCCAUGGUUGUUGUCAUCUCCAAAAAGUUUGCCCUGCCCAUAUCAACAGUGGAAGAGAACAUGAGAUGGGCCUUGAGGAGGCUUCGUGUCAUGUACUGCGGGGAGAAUAUAUAAACUGUUUAGUGCUGAGCAAUAUGUUCCUUUGUUCAUAGGUGUAAAUAUGUGUAAAGGGCUAUUCCAGGAAAAGAUAGGAUGAAGGAUUCCUUAAUGUUGUCAUUUUAUAAAUCCGGUACCACCAACACAGUUAAAAACAAUUAUUAUUAAAUUUAUCCUCUGUAUCACCCCUCACUAACUGAAACUGUAUAUAAUCAUGGUUCAUACCCUUCCUCCCAUUUUUACCUGUGGUAGCCCAAAGAGGAGAAUGUUAUUUAUUUUAAUUUAUUAUGUUAAAUGUGCUCGCAUAUUGUGAUAAUGUAUCUUGGGUAGAUGUUUUCCUGGUUUUGUUAAAAAUGCACUGUAAAAAUGUUCACAUUAUUUGUUUUUUUUAAUAUAAACAUUGUUUUUUGCAAA